rnacentral:rRNA from 1 species
UGCGAGCGUUGCAGGACCGGUAUCGUGGGAUCGAUUCGGACUCUCUCGCAUGAGGGUCGAGGAGUUACAAACCGUACCGUUAGCCGAAGGUUCUGGAAAGUUCGGCCAGAGAGGGUAAUAGCCCCGUAGGCGAAAACGGACUUGGCUCUCUGGAAUCACGUCCCAAGUACCACGGGACACGUGGAACCCUGUGGGAAUCUGCGAGGACCAUCUCGCAAGGCUAAAUACUACCCAGCGACCGAUAGUGAACCAGUACCGUGAGGGAAAGGUGAAAAGAACCCCUGUUAGGGGAGUGAAAUAGAACCUGAAACCGUAUGCUUACAAACAGUCGGAGGGCAAUGCGUGGCCUUCGGGUUGCGCAGGCCUGACGGCGUGCCUUUCGGAGAAUGAUCCGGCGAGUUACUCUGUGUCGCCAGGUUAAGGGAGUCACACCCGAAGCCGAAGCGAAAGCGAGUCUGAAUAGGGCGUUUAGUGGCACGGAGUAGACACGAAACCGGGUGAGCUACCCAUGGCCAGGGUGAAGCGAGGCUAAUCCCUCGUGGAGGCCCGAACUCACUAAUGUUGCAAAAUUAGGAGAUGAGCUGUGGGUAGGGGUGAUAUGCCUAACGAACUCGGAGAUAGCUUGUUCUCCCCGAAAUAGCUUUAGGGCUAGCCUUGCGCGUUCAAUCACGGAGGUAGAGCACUGGAUUGGCUAGGGGGCGUAUAGCUUACCAAACCAAACCAAACUCCGAAUGCCGUGAUUCCAAGCGCAGGAGUCGGACAGUGGCGGAUGAGCGUCAUUGUCGAGAGGGAAACAACCCGGACCGUCGGCUAAGGUCCUCAAGUUUAGGCUAAGUGGGAAACGAUGUGAGAUUGCUCGGACAGCCAGGAGGUUGGCUCAGAAGCAGCCACCCUUUAAAGAGUGCGUAAUAGCUCACUGGUCAAGCGAUCUUGCGCGGAAAAUGUAACGGGGCUCAAGCCUAGCACCGAAGCCGCGGAAUCCACGUUGUGGAUUGGUAGGGGAGCGUUCUGGACUGCGUCGAAGCUCGACGGAAACGACGGGUGGAGCGUACAGAAGUGAGAAUGCCGGAAUGAGUAGCGUAAAACACGUGAGAACCGUGUUCGCCGUAAGCCUAAGGUUUCCGACGGAAGGUCAGUCCGCGUCGGGUUAGUCGGGCCUAAGCCGAGGCUGAAAAGCGUAGGUGAUGGACAGCAGGUUAAUAUUCCUGUACCACUCAAGAGGAGCGAUGAGGGGACGCAACGGGGUAAGCCAGCCUCCGAUUGGUUGUGGAGGUGCCAAACCCAUAGGGAGAUGAGGGGAGUAGGUAAAUCCGCUCUCUGAUCCUGAGGGGUGAUGGCGGUGCCUUCGGGCCACAAGUGACCAAGCCCUAUUGCCGAGAAAAUCCUCUAAGCGUUGAGUCUUUGGUGCCCGUACCGCAAACCGACACUGGUAGGCGGGUAGAGUAUACCAAGGCGAUCGGGAGAACUAUCGUUAAGGAAUUAGGCAACAUGUCCCCGUAACUUCGGGAUAAGGGGAGCCUCUGGACGUGAAAUCAAUCAGGUGGAGCGUCUGGAGGUCGCAGCGAAAUGGCUCUAGUGACUGGUUAACAAAACCACAGGUCUCUGCAAAGCCGCAAGGCGAUGUAUAGGGGCUGACGCGUGCCCAGUGCCGGAAGGUUAAGGGGAGGUGUUUUAAAAGCACUGAACUGAAGCCCCGGUGAACGGCGGCGGUAACUAUAACCGUCCUAAGGUAGCGAAAUUCCUUGUCGGGCAAGUUCCGACCCGCACGAACCGCGUAACAACUGGAGCACUGUCUCGACGAUAGACCCGGCGAAGUUGAAGUACGUGUAAAGAUGCGCGUUACCCGCAGCAGGACAAAAAGACCCCGUGGAGCUUUACUGCAUCUUGGCAUUGCGUUAGGGCUUGACUUGCGUAGAAUAGGUGGGAGGCUUUGAAACUGGGCUCUUGGGCUCGGUGGAGCCAUCAGUGAAAUACCACCCUGGUGAAGUCUUGACCCUAACCGCUCGCCGUGAACCGGCAGCGGAACCGUGCCAGGUGGGCAGUUUGACUGGGGCGGUCGCCUCCUAAAAGGUAACGGAGGCGCCCAAAGGUUCCCUCAGGCGGAAUGGAAACCCGCCGGCGAGUGUAAAGGCACAAGGGAGCUUGACUGCAAGGCAAACAAGCCGAGCAGAGACGAAAGUCGGGCUUAGUGAUCCCACGUUUCUGAGUGGAAGGGGCGUGGCUUACCGGAUAAAAGCUACCCCGGGGAUAACAGGCUGGUGAGGUCCAAGAGUUCACAUCGACGACCUCGCUCGGCACCUC